rnacentral:rRNA from 1 species
AACGAACGCUGGCGGCGUGCUUAACACAUGCAAGUCGUACGAGAAACACGUCCUUCGGGAUGUGGAGUAAAGUGGCGCACGGGUGAGUAACACGUGGGUAACCUGCCCUAUGGUUCGGGAUAACUGGCCGAAAGGCCCGCUAAUACCGGAUAAGACCACAUGAGCCUCGGCUCAAGGGGUCAAAGUCGGCCUCUCAACGAAGCCGGCGCCACAGGAGGGGCCCGCGGACCAUUAGCUUGUUGGUAGGGUAACGGCCUACCAAGGCCAAGAUGGUUAGCUGGUCUGAGAGGAUGAUCAGCCACACUGGAACUGAGACACGGUCCAGACUCCUACGGGAGGCUG